GACCCCAUCGUCUAGUCAGGUCCAGGACAUCAGGUUUUCAUCCUGAGAACAGGGGUUCGAAUCCCCUUGGGGUCG
rnacentral:tRNA from 1 species